UGGGUCCUCAGUAAUAUUCACACUGAACAUGAUACCGAAUCAAGUUUACAAACUUAAGACUCUGUUUCUGGGUUUCGGUAACAAAGGGUAUAAUACGCAGAAGAAGGUCAGUUUCCUACAAAGUUGACAACUUUCCCUUUUUAAAUUACAGAAACAGAGGACGGACCCAUCAAACAAAUCAUUAAAGUAGACUAUAAUCUUUCUCUCAGUUGUGUCUGAAGCUCUAACGUGAAAUGGGUUCGGUACAAGCCCCAUCAUCUUCAGCCGAGACCAAAAGCUUCACGAAAGUUUUGGCUUUGUUCGGUGAAUUGCGAGGACGAGGCUCGUCUCCGGAUAAUUUCACCUUACCCGUUGUUCUGAAAUCAAUCGGACGUUUGAGGAAUGUUACAGAAGGUGAGAAACUCCAUGGCUACGCUGUGAAAGCUGGGCUUAAGUUCGAUUCUUACGUAUGUAAUUCACUCAUGGGAAUGUACGCUGCACUGGGUAAGAUGGAGAUCACUCAUAAACUGUUCGACGAAACGCCUGAACGAGAUGUUGUUUCUUGGAACGGGUUGAUUUCUAGUUACGCUGGACACGGGAGCUUUGAUGACGCCAUUACUGUUUUCAAACGGAUGAGUAAAGAGAGUAACUUGAAGCCUGAUGAAAGUACGAUUGUGAGCACUCUCUCAGCUUGUUCUGCUUUGAAGAAUCUGGAGGUCGGUGAAGGUAUCCACAGCUAUGUUGUUGUCACAGAGUUUGAAAUGAGUGUUAAGAUUGGGAACGCGUUGGUGGAUAUGUUCUGUAAAUGCGGGUGUCUCGAUAAGGCUAGAGCGGUUUUCGACUCGAUGAGAAACAGAAAUGUCAACUGUUGGACUAGCUUGGUUACUGGGUAUGUUGGUAACGGUAGGAUUGACGAGGGUAGAGAGUUGUUUGAGAGAAGUCCCGUGAAAGAUGUUGUUUUGUGGACAGCUAUGAUGAAUGGGUAUGUACAGUUUAACCGGUUUGACGAGGCGUUGGAACUGUUCAGGUGCAUGCAAACCGAUGGUAAUAGGCCUGAUAACUUCGUGCUAGUCUCUCUCUUGAAAGGCUGUGCGCAAACGGGGGCACUAGAGCAAGGGAAGUGGAUCCAUGGGUACAUAGAUGAGAACAGAGUUACGGUGGAUAGAGUAGUUGGUACUGCUCUUGUGGACAUGUACGCAAAAUGUGGGUGCAUAGAGUCAGCUCUGGAGGUUUUCUAUGAGACGAAGGAGAGAGACACUGCUUCUUGGACAUCGCUUAUCUACGGCCUUACCAUGAACGGGAUGUCAGGGAGAGCGAUGGACUUGUAUUACGAGAUGGAGAGCGUUGGUGUCAGGUUGGAUGAUAUAACCUUUGUAGCGGUUUUAACAGCUUGUAAUCACUGUGGAUUUGUAGAAGAAGGACGUAGGGUUUUUUACUCGAUGACCAAAGUACAUAAGAUACAGCCUAAAGCAGAGCAUUACAGCUGUCUGAUUGACCUACUGUCCAGAGCUGGCUUGUUAGAAGAAGCAGAGGAAGUGAUAGAUGAGAUGAGAAAUGAAAGCGAUGAAAGUCUAGUUCCUUUGUACUGUUCUCUGCUAAGCGCUGCUCGGAACUAUGGGCAUUUAGAGUUAGCUGAACGGGUAGCGGAGAAGCUCGAGAAAGUGGAAGUUAGUGAUUCAAGUGCACACACUAUGCUUGCGAGUGUGUAUGCAUCUGCCAAUAAAUGGGAAGAUGUGACGAGUGUGAGAAGGAAAAUGAAAGAUUUGGGAAUCACAAAGUUUCCUGGAUGCAGUUCUGUCGAGAUUGAUGGUAUUCAAAUUGAGCUUCAGUAAGACUGUUUCUUGCUUUAAGGGAACAUAAAUAAAAGUCGCUAGGACAAGGAGUCAUUACUUGUGAUUCAAGGAACCGGACAACCAAUGCAUCAUGAGACGGUCUUCUAGACUUGAAGACACUGAUUAUCAACUUUAGCUGCAAAGAAUAUUUAACUAAUGCUUUCUUUUAGUCAAGACUUCUGGGACCAACACGAAACUGUUUAAUGAAGGAAUCAACACUCAAUGAGCCUCCUGGGGAGUAGCCAGACAUAGAAAAUUGAACAUUAGAUAGCAUAGGUCAUAUAAAAAU